GGGGGCGUAGCUCAGUUGGGAGAGCGCUUGAAUGGCAUUCAAGAGGUCAGCGGUUCGAUCCCGCUCGUCUCCA
rnacentral:tRNA from 3 species